rnacentral:tRNA from 1 species
GGGCGUUUAGCUCAGUUGGCUAGAGCAUCUCCCUUACAAGGAGGGCAGGUCCCGUGCGACUCUGACCGGCCU